GGGCGGUUAGCUCAGUGGUAGAGCACUACGUUGACAUCGUAGGGGUCGGCAGUUCGAACCUGUCACUGCCCACCA
rnacentral:tRNA from 1 species